ACAAUCUCUAAUUUGUAGAGAUUUUUGCUUUUGUAGGUGAGUGAUUUACUUGGAAGGUAUCCGGAUCUUAUGGAUGCGUUCGACGAAUUUUUUUUGGCAUGUGAAAAAAAAGAUGGGUUCCUUGCUGGUCUCAUGAGUAAACGUGCGUAACAUAAUUCGACUGCAAGUGCCUUUUAGCAGGAGGUGUUGUGGCUCUAGCCAUUGUUGGUUUGCCACAGUAGAUGUGGAGCAAAGACUUCCCGUGGUAGUACUCAGGCACCUUUUCACAAAAGCAAAGCCCAUCUUUCUCCCUCCCUUGAAAACUAUUAUCUCACACGAUGACCCCCCCUACCAUGAGCAUUACGUUCGUAAGAUUAUCUUGUCUGCUGAUCCCACUAUGAAUCCAGAGAAUUAUGUGGUUGUAGCACUUUACGGUCGCGGUUUCAUGUUGGCUUUCAUCAAGGCAGGCCAAAACAAUUGGACUUAUCCCAUCCCAACUGGUGAAUUUAAUGAUGUUAUAUUCUAUAAAAGUGUACGCACUUGAAACCUUUGGA